rnacentral:rRNA from 1 species
AUACGUAGGGGGCUAGCGUUAUCCGGAAUUACUGGGCGUAAAGGGUGCGUAGGUGGUUUCUUAAGUCAGAAGUGAAAGGCUACGGCUCCACCGUAGUAAGCUUUUGAAACUAAGAGACUUGAGUGCAGGAGAGGAGAGUAGAAUUCCUAGUGUAGCGGUGAAAUGCGUAGAUAUUAGGAGGAAUACCAGUUGAGAAGGCGGCUCUCUGGACUGUAACUGACACUGAGGCACGAAAGCGUGGGGAGCAAACAGGAUUAGAUACCCUGGUAGUCCACGCCGUAAACGAUGAGUACUAGCUGUCGGGGGUUACCCCCCUCGGUGGCGCAGCUAACGCAUUAAGUACUCCGCCUGGGAAGUACGCUCGCAAGAGUGAAACUCAAAUGAAUUGACGGGG